GAGGCGCGGAAGUGGACUGGCGGCGUAGACUCGAAUCUCAUUCGCAGCGACACGAAAUGGCCGAGUCAGGAAACUUCAGUGGCGGCCGUUUACGAAUAUGCGGAAUAUAUUCAAUAUAUCGUACGUGUUGAAAUUUAUCGACGUAUGAUUAACCUUCAAACUUGGCACAAGAGUGCGAAUUCGCACCGCUAAAAUUUUUGACAUGUUGACAUUUUCACAAAGUGUCUGUCGCGGCUGUUCGCUGGGUAGUCGCUGCACCAGUGUGCCAUUAGUGGGUGCUCGACAGUGCUCGAUUCUCGAACGCCUUGAACGAAGUGUGUUAUUUGAAGGUUAAUUGAGAAAAAGGCGCGAUUUUAUUUCUGCUAUAAAUUUUUGUAUCUGCCUUUUGCGGCACAGAGGCAUCAUGGGCACAUAUUUGUCACUGGGUCGGAACUUGUAUUGCGAGCACAAUCGAUCGGACACAGCCUUCGAGUAACCGUACCUGCAAUAAAUUUUGUCGAUCAAUAUUCCUCGAAUCUCAUCGACAGGGCGAUUUGCCGGAGCGGUUUGUAAAAUCAGUAGAAAAGUCCCAAAGUCCCUUCGUCCCCAGAGCAUUUAAACUCAUUAUAUAAUUUCGUAGGGUAAAGGAACUUUCACCACGACGUUGACAUUGAUUAGAUAAAGAUUGGGAGGUAAUUAUGAUGCACGGAACCGUCACCAAAAGCCAUGUACGUAAUACCUAAGUGCUGAAAAAAAAAACGAAAUUGAAAAAAAAAACGUUUACGGAGACAGUCGUCAACAGCGGUCUUCGAAAUCCUCUACUCCCUGAUAAAUCGCUUGGCACAUAAUUCGGGGACCUCUCCCAUUG